GGUGAGAUGGCCGAGUUGGUUAUGGCGCCAGGUUAAGGUUACCUUAAUAGCAUUUCCUGGUGGGGCAACCCUCGUGGGUUCGAAUCCCACUCUCAUCA
rfam:Stachybotrys chlorohalonata IBT 40285 unplaced genomic scaffold scaffold1144, whole genome shotgun sequence.